AGGACGAACGCUGGCGGCGCGCCUCAUACAUGCAAGUCGAGCGGGCGUAGCAAUACGUCAGCGGCAGACGGGUGAGUAACGCGUGGGAACAUACCUUUUGGUUCGGAACAACACAGGGAAACUUGUGCUAAUACCGGAUAAGCCCUUACGGGGAAAGAUUUAUCGCCGAAAGAUUGGCCCGCGUCUGAUUAGCUAGUUGGUGAGGUAACGGCUCACCAAGGCGACGAUCAGUAGCUGGUCUGAGAGGAUGAUCAGCCACAUUGGGACUGAGACACGGCCCAAACUCCUACGGGAGGCAGCAGUGGGAAUAUUGGACAAUGGGCGCAAGCCUGAUCCAGCCAUGCCGCGUGAGUGAUGAAGGCCCUAGGGUUGUAAAGCUCUUUUGUGCGGGAAGAUAAUGACGGUACCGCAAGAAUAAGCCCCGGCUAACUUCGCGCCAGCACGCCGC
rnacentral:rRNA from 1 species